AUUGAACGCUGGCGGCAGGCCUAACACAUGCAAGUCGAGCGAGCGGCGGACGGGUGAGUAAUGUAUGGGGACUGCCCGAUAGAGGGGGAUAACUACUGGAAACGGUGGCUAAUACCGCAUACUAUCGGAUACCCCCUAUGGGAUUAGCUAGUAGGUGGGGUAAAGGCUCACCUAGGCGACGAUCCCUAGCUGGUCUGAGAGGAUGAUCAGCCACGCUGGGCAUGAAACACGGCCCAGACUCCGACGGAGGCAGCAGUGUGGAAUAUGGCACGAAGGGCGCAAGCCUGAUGCAGCCAUGCCGGGUGUAUGAAGAAGGCCUUAGGGUUGUAAAGUACUUUCAGCGGGGAGGCGUUACCCGCAGAAGAAGCACCGGCUAACUCCGUGCCAGCGGCCGCGGUAUUC
rnacentral:rRNA from 1 species